GUUGUGCCGCGAUCUCUACAAAAUAGUACAAGGGCGAUGAAAAAAUCGUUGGCGAAUGUUGUGGCAUCUGGCGCUGACACGACCAACUCUCUCUGUCUAUCCCCAACAGUUUAUUUAUUUCGCAAGAAUUCCGUGGAGGAAACAUUUUUUUCCAUGUUUGAAGUCUUGCUUGGCGAUGGGAUGAGUCAUUUUCUGAAGCAAUGAGAUGGAAGGAACCUUCAGAGCUCCAACAAACAAGGAUUUAUGUGAGGCAUUGUGUUUUCCACAUUGCAGACCUCUGUAUCACCAACUUAAAUGAGCCUCCACCUGUCCACCAUGAUCUCCCCCAAACUUAAUCCACACCUCUUCUUCAGGAAUUGCCCCAUCGUGAGUUGUGAGAAAUCCAUUCCUGUGGAAAGAUGAUGGAACAUGAACAUAUGGUCUGUGACUCUGCUAUGGACCUAGCGAAUCACUGUCGACUGUCCAUGGUUCAAGUGAGGAUUGGCAACCCUGGUCAUUUCUUGAUUACCUAAAGAAUGCAACCACACCAUGCAAAAUCUUAUGCAGGAAUGGGGCUACAGCAGUGAUGGAGACACUACCUUUGACUGUGUGAAGAUUAGACAAUGCAAUUCCUGUUGGUCAGCCCCCCACCCCAAGGAGCCAUGCACUGCCAGAGAUCUUGAGCCAGGUCUUCAGUGGUUAUCCAUGGAUAAGAAGAACAGAGACAAUAAAGAUAGUGAGGUAUCUUGUUGAUUUCGGCGUGACCAUCUUCCUGACGCUUCUUCCAAACAAUGAAACUGGAGGCUCUUUUCACGAAUCUUGGAAUAUGUACAAUUGAAUGUAUAGCUGCUUCAAGUGUGAUUCCAGCUUUUUCAAGAGCUUCUUGACGUUCUACUUCUACUGGCGUUUAUUGUAGUUAACACGUCCUGUGAAUGUUUUUAGGAGGCCAGUUUUGCCACAAACACAGUAAACCUCAAGUUCACAUAUAGUUAAAAAAACAGGGACUACUUGUAACAUCAUCUAGGAAAAAGUUCUUGUUACAAAUUGGACAUGGCGAAACUUUUUAUUCAUUAUGUCUUCGGGAUUUACUGAGGUACUCACUACAAAAGGAAGUUGGGGUCAAAAGGUCAAGGUUUUGUUCAACUUGGUCACAUUCCUUUAUUUCUGCAUCAAUUAUGUUCACACUUACUACAUCUGAUCCUUGGGUAAUACUACAUGUACUUUCAUUAGGAUAAUGGGUCAAAUGCCUAAUGUUAAUAAUCAACUGAAAAUUACUUAGUCAGGAAAAGUGGCUUAUUGGAUUCCCUAUCUUUUGCUUAUAAUUUUUUUUUUUUCAAAUUUAAUAUUUCUUUAUCAAAUCUGACAAAUUCAUUAUUUUUUUAUCAAUAAUUAUUAAACGAUAAGUAAUAAGAGUUUUGAGAAACAUGUGCAAGUAUAUGUACCAACAUCCAUGUGCAGAAUAUUUGCUGGAAGGGUACAUGCUACAGAGAAAUUUUAAAGUGUGCAACCAUAGGAUACAGGAAAAAAAGUUCUUGCAGUCUUUGAUGUACUUUUAAAGAUCAAGAUAGAAUUCACCCAAAACAUCUAUUAGGUGUUAGUAGCCGAAAAUAUCCUAGAUUAGUUCAACACUAUUCAUCUUGAAGAAGAGACGAGUCAAAGCAUUUUAAACAAUUUUAAAAGUUUCCUGCGCUAUAUUUGUUUUAAUUGAUAUGCAGUUAGAAUUGAUCAAAUUCUGAAUGCAAGCUGACAAAUUUAUUUAGAAGGUGGGUAUUAACAUGAAUGUAUUUCAAUACAAGUAAGACGUCUCUGGCAGUAUUGCCUGCAUUAUUAUGCAAUUCAAUAUAGUCGCAUUUCAGAAGUUCGGUAUGGAAAUGGGUGGAUAAUGGAAAUAGUAUUUGUCGAGUUAAUUGCCACUAAUUGAAUAAUAUUAAAUUCAAUUAUUAAUAAAAAACAGACUUCUGGAAUGUCUCUCUACAGUUAUUAUUCAUGACAUGUCUAAUUAUACUAGACUAGUAGGAAAAUGUCAGCCAAUAUAAUAUUCAAAUUUUCAAUUUUUUUUAGUUCCAAUAAUUUAGUAAUGUUUCACUUCAAACUUUAAUUCAAAGACUACAGGCAUCACUUCUUAUACGCCCGUCUUGACGGGACAUAUUAUGGUAUCACACUCGGUGUCCGUCCGUCUGUUAACUUUUCCUUGUAAACGCGAUAACUUCAGUUGAACUUAAUCUAGGCUCAUAUAAUUUGGUGCACGAUACUAGCAUGGAUCCCAGGAAGGCAGGAAGCCUAUUGAUUUUGAGGUCAGAAGGUCAAAGGUGAAGUCACCAUUUUCCACUUUUCUUGCUUGACCAAUAGCUCAAUUUUCCAUGUUAUAGACGGGCGUAUUAUGUGCCCGCCUUAGCAACACUCUUGUUCGAUUUGAAGUGUAUUGAUUAAGAAGUUAUAGCAUGUAUGUUAAAUAGUAGGUUAAAAACAACUAAAAUAUGUAUUAAAAUGGCAAUGUAUUAUAUUGUGUCAUGAUAUGAAUUAUGACUGUAAGGUUUACAUUUCUAGUCAGUUAAAAUGCAAAGAACAACGAGAUUCAGAUUAUUUUUACAAAUUCAACCAUUUUGAAAAUAUAAAGGAAUGAGCUACAUGUGCAUGUCAUAUCCAAUCUAAUCAAUUACCAUUUGUCACUUAUCUGAUUUGUAAUUUAUAUUCAUAGUAUUUUUAAGUCUUGUAUCAUUGCAUGAAAAAAAUUUAUCCACGGGGUACUGAAUUUGCCGGGCAUGUGAAGGUGAAAGUAAUUUUUCAGUUUUUUUUUAACAUUGUUAAAAUUAAAUGUACACUGUAAUUGAUAUGCAUACAACGAUAGAUAACCAAUUUUUGUGGCUGUGUGAGUGGUAGAUCACAUGAAAUUUGCAAAUAUUAUAUUUAAAAAUGACUGAUUAUUUCAUAUUUAUAUUUAUUCUUUUUUUUGGAGGGGGUAUAUAAUGCAGACCUGACAAGUGACCAUGGUUUUCACUUAGGAGUUCAAUCCCUUCUCCUUUCAUCCAUAUUUUAUAGCUUUUAUAAAGUUACGAGGGUUUCAUUGACCCUACAGACAUGUAGAGAUUGAAUUUUACCUCCUGGAAUCUAAUCCAAACACAUAAAAUGAAGAGUAUCCAUAUCAGGUAAUGGUUAAUGAUUAUGUAUUAAACACAUUUUUUUCCAAAACACAUAUAAAGUAUUCUAAUCUUGGGCUAUCAUGAAUUAAGUUUUAGGCUAUUUACCCAUAUUUCUCACGUUAGACGUCACUUAGUCCAUAAUUCAUUUCCAUAUCGGUUAUACAUGCUCAUUAAAAAAUAUUUUAUUGGAAGGUUUCAUUCAGGUAAAAUUAUUGUCUUGAUGUUAAUUUAUAUAUAUAUCUUUGUGCAUGUAAUGUCACUGGAGGGCAAAUUUUCAAAUGUGGUUCAAUAAAUAGAUGAAUGUGAAUGAAUCUCUAUUUGUAUCUAAACUUCAUUAAAUAUGUAGUAAUUCACUGCAAUUUUAUUGUAAAUUUUGAAUAAAAUUUGUUUAUAUAAUCU